CACCCCUCCACGCCUCGCAGCGCUUACAGCUCCACCCAACAGGAAAGAUCCCCAGGUUAUUUUAUUGCCGUACUCAGAGACGGAGUCUCGCUCUGUUGCCCAGGCUGGAGCACAGUGGCACGAUCUCGGAUCACUGCAAGCUCCACCUCCCGGGCCUCAGUCUGCAGAGACACAGAAGCAAAUGACUGUAUGAAGCUCCUGACUGUAUGAAGUUCUCAGUCAAACAAAAUAGUACCUCUUCUGCCCAUCUCAGAGGUCGAUGAGGGUAAAGUGAAAUAAUGGAAAGCACAAGGAACAGUAAAAGGCAAAUGUCAAGAAGCUGUUUGCAAAGUUAGCAAGAUGUAAAAUUAGAUUUUACUUAUUAAUAAUCAUGUCACUUGUCAUUCUGUUUAUAACGGUCAGUUCACUGCUGAUAUUCAAGUGGAACGUUUAAACUGUAUUUUUGCUCAACUAUCCCUCCAAAUAAAUAUCUUGAAAUCUUGACUGUU